GAUGAACGCUGGCGGCGUGCCUAAUACAUGCAAGUCGAGCGAACAGACGAGGAGCUUGCUCCUCUGACGUUAGCGGCGGACGGGUGAGUAACACGUGGAUAACCUACCUAUAAGACUGGGAUAACUUCGGGAAACCGGAGCUAAUACCGGAUAAUAUAUUGAACCGCAUGGUUCAAUAGUGAAAGACGGUUUUGCUGUCACUUAUAGAUGGAUCCGCGCCGCAUUAGCUAGUUGGUAAGGUAACGGCUUACCAAGGCGACGAUGCGUAGCCGACCUGAGAGGGUGAUCGGCCACACUGGAACUGAGACACGGUCCAGACUCCUACGGGAGGCAGCAGUAGGGAAUCUUCCGCAAUGGGCGAAAGCCUGACGGAGCAACGCCGCGUGAGUGAUGAAGGUCUUCGGAUCGUAAAACUCUGUUAUGAGGGAAGAACAAAUGUGUAAGUAACUAUGCACGUCUGGACGGUACCUAAUCAGAAGACCACGGCUAACUACGG
rnacentral:rRNA from 1 species